rnacentral:rRNA from 1 species
CCUACGGGGUGCAGCAGUGGGGAAUAUUGGGCAAUGGGCGCAAGCCUGACCCAGCAACGCCGCGUGAAGGAAGAAGGCUUUCGGGUUGUAAACUUCUUUUAAGAGGGAAGAGCAGAAGACGGUACCUCUUGAAUAAGCCACGGCUAACUACGUGCCAGCAGCCGCGGUAAUACGUAGGUGGCAAGCGUUGUCCGGAUUUACUGGGUGUAAAGGGCGUGUAGCCGGGCUGACAAGUCAGUUGUGAAAUCCGGGGGCUCAACCCCCGAACUGCAUUUGAAACUGUUGGUCUUGAGUAGCGGAGUGGCAGGCGGAAGUCCUAGUGUAGCGGUGAAAUGCGUAGAUAGUAGGAGGAACACCAGUGGCGAAGGCGGCUUGCUGGACGACAACUGACGGUGAGGCGCGAAAGCGUGGGGAGCAAACAGGAUUAGAUACCCGAGUAGUC